AUACUCUGGUUUCUCUUCAGAUCGAAUAAAUCUUUCGCCUUUUACUAAAAAUUUCCGUGGAGAGGAACCGCUAUGAGUUUUCAAUAAAUUUUUGAGGCUCUACAUUAUAGAGCU